CUAAGGAUGAUCCUUCAGCCUAGCUUGGCUAGCUAUCGGAUCGUUUUAGAAACAUCAGUGGCCAACGGUCGUCAGGAUCGUUGAGCUGCAUUGGCGGGAUUUCGCCGUCUUCGUUUCUCUUUCUUCGCGGACGAACACGCGCUGGGCCUGCAUGGUUGCAGGAUCCCGGUCCUUAACUGGAUAUGCGUUAGGGGCUUGUAGCUCAGUUGGUUAGAGCGCGCGCUUGAUAAGCGUGAGGUCGGAAGUUCAAGUCUUCCCAGGCCCACCACACUCAUCGAGUGAGCAUUCGUCUUCUGGUUACGGGGCCAUAGCUCAGCUGGGAGAGCGCGUGCUUUGCAAGCAUGAGGUCGUCGGUUCGAUCCCGUCUGGCUCCACCAGAUGGUUUGAUCAAUCGAAUGAUUGCACCUAUUCGUCCGCGAAACAUCACUUCGCACCCACUAGUCCGGAUGGACAGUGCGGCUGCGGGAUUUCUGACAUCGUAAAGAGGAGAUCGAUCCGAGUUGGAUCGUGCGGCAAGCAAUUGCCACGCGGUACUCCAUUAUCUCCGGAUCAUUUCGGCGCUCAUGCGUCUUCCAAGGUAGCUCACAAGGCUGCACUGAAAGACAAACGAGUUGUAAAUGAUCCUUUUAGCGAAGCUUGACCGCCUCGCUAUCGGAACGAUCUUACGAAGCAAGCUGGUCUUUCUAAUCAUUGUCCGGCUGCAGAUAGCGUUCAUCGAGGGCGCGUGCCUUAGCAGUGGCAAUUCUGCAGACAACAUUCUGCCGAGUGUGUGGACAUUGAUAAUGAGAGC
rnacentral:tRNA from 1 species